rnacentral:rRNA from 1 species
AGUGAACGCUGGCGGUAGGCCUAACACAUGCAAGUCGAACGGCAGCACAGUAAGAGCUUGCUCUUACGGGUGGCGAGUGGCGGACGGGUGAGGAAUACAUCGGAAUCUACUUUUUCGUGGGGGAUAACGUAGGGAAACUUACGCUAAUACCGCAUACGACCUACGGGUGAAAGCAGGGGAUCUUCUGACCUUGCGCGAUUGAAUGAGCCGAUGUCGGAUUAGCUAGUUGGCGGGGUAAAGGCCCACCAAGGCGACGAUCCGUAGCUGGUCUGAGAGGAUGAUAAGCCACACUGGAACUGAGACACGGUCCAGACUCCUACGGGAGGCAGCAGUGGGGAAUAUUGGACAAUGGGCGCAAGCCUGAUCCAGCCAUACCGCGUGGGUGAAGAAGGCCUUCGGGUUGUAAAGCCCUUUUGUUGGGAAAGAAAAGCAGCAGGUUAAUACCCCGCUGUUCUGACGGUACCCAAAGAAUAAGCACCGGCUAACUUCGUG